UACUUCUGCCGCGGGAGCUUUGUGAUGUGGGUAAUGGCUGAGAAAUGAAAGAGUCGAAAGAUUCUUUGUUGACCGUUCGAACCUGAACAUGGUAAUGCAUGCGAAAGGGAAGGUGAGAUGUGUCAUG
rnacentral:ncRNA from 1 species